GUUGUGCAUUGGUGAGAUGAUCCAAAGAACCUUCAUUGCAUGUACUGUUGAGUUUAUCUAAACUUUGCUGAGGUUAUUGCUGAUCGCUGUGUGUGUUUCUGUGUGUGUGUUUCUGUGUGUGUGUGUGUGUGUGUUUCUGUGUGUGUGUGUGUGUGUGUGUGUGUGUGUGUGUGUGUGUGUUUCUGUGUGUGUGUGUGUGUGUGUGUCUAUGUUUCCUUCACAGGUCCAGCAGGCUCAGCAGCAACAGCAGCAGCAGCAGCAGGUCCAGCAGCAGCAGCAGGUCCAGCAGCAGCAGGUCCAGCAGCAACAACAACAACAGCAACAACAGCAGCAACAACAGCAGCAACAACAGCAGCAGCAGCAGCAACAGCAGCAGGUCCAGCAGCAGCAGCAGGUGCAGCCACAGCAGGUACAGCCGCAGCAGGUCUCUGCAGCGCAGGCACCUGCACAGGUGCAGCAGAACCAGGCCCUGGGCAUGCAGGCGCUGCCGCCGCAACAACCCAUGUUUCCACGGCAGGGUAUGCAGCAGACCCAGCAACAGCAACAGACAGCAGCCCUGGUCAGACAGCUCCAGCAGCAGCUGUCAAAUACACAACCUGGACAGAACACAGCUCCCUAUUACUGAGAGAGAAAAAAAAA
rnacentral:lncRNA from 1 species